GUGUCAGCCGCCGCGGUAAUACGGAGGAUCCAAGCGUUAUCCGGAAUCAUUGGGUUUAAAGGGUCCGUAGGCGGUUUAAUAAGUCAGUGGUGAAAGCCCAUCGCUCAACGGUGGAACGGCCAUUGAUACUGUUAACUUGAAUUAUUAGGAAGUAACUAGAAUAUGUAGUGUAGCGGUGAAAUGCUUAGAGAUUAUAUGGAAUACCAAUUGCGAAGGCAGGUUACUACUAAUGGAUUGACGCUGAUGGACGAAAGCGUGGGUAGCGAACAGGAUUAGAAACCCCGGUAGUCC
rnacentral:rRNA from 1 species